rnacentral:rRNA from 1 species
ACGCUCGACACCUACGGCAGGCAGCAGUAGGGAAUCUUCCACAAUGGGCGCAAGCCUGAUGGAGCAACACCGCGUGAGUGAAGAAGGGUUUCGGCUCGUAAAGCUCUGUUGUUGGAGAAGAACGUGCGUGAGAGUAACUGUUCACGCAGUGACGGUAUCCAACCAGAAAGUCACGGCUAACUACGUGCAAGCAGCCGCGGUAAUCUGAGCGGGCUGGCAAGGC